rnacentral:rRNA from 1 species
UCCGAAGGGUGCAAGCGUUAAUCGGAAUUACUGGGCGUAAAGCGUGCGUAGGUGGUUUGUUAAGUCUGAUGUGAAAGCCCUGGGCUCAACCUGGGAACGGCAUUGGAUACUGGCUUACUAGAGUGCGGUAGAGGGUAGCGGAAUUUCCGGUGUAGCGGUGAAAUGCGUAGAGAUCGGAAGGAACAUCCGUGGCGAAGGCGGCUACCUGGACCAGCACUGACACUGAGGCACGAAAGCGUGGGGAGAAAACAGG